CUCCUAUAUUCAAUGUAGUCUCAAUCACACCUCAAAUAGAGGCCAUAUACAAAUUAUAACUUUGAUGCUCUUAUAGACCUUUUUAAAGAAGCAUGAAGAAUAUAACUCCAUCUUCACGAAGGUCCUAGUCUCUCAGAAAGUCCAAAACAUUUUUAAUCCUAAUGAAAGUUUUAACUAAAUAUACAAAUCUAAUUAUGUUUGUUGCUACCAUGUAUCUAUAGAAAUUGUAGAUAUAUAACCAAUAUUUUGGCCCCAAAGUAGCCAAAGCCUUAUAUCUUCAAUUCAAAAUCAUCAUCUUUUUGACAAGGCAACUAGUACAAUUCUACAAUCAUCAACUCUACAUGAAGCAAAAAUCAACCCAUAUCCACAAGGCUAAUUUAUUUAGAUUUAAAAGUACGAAUUUUUUAU
rnacentral:lncRNA from 1 species